rnacentral:rRNA from 1 species
UACGUAGGGGGGCAAGCGUUGUCCGGAAUCAUUGGGCGUAAAGAGCGUGUAGGCGGUCCGGUAAGUCCGCUGUGAAAGUCGGGGGCUCAACCCUCGAAUGCCGGUGGAUACUGUCGGGCUAGAGUACGGAAGAGGCGAGUGGAAUUCCUGGUGUAGCGGUGAAAUGCGCAGAUAUCAGGAGGAACACCUAUUGCGAAGGCAGCUCGCUGGGACGUAACUGACGCUGAGACGCGAAAGCGUGGGGAGCAAACAGG